rnacentral:lncRNA from 1 species
UUUUUUUUGUUAUAACUGCUUUGAUCUUCAACAAUAGUGAAUAUUUUAUUUCCAAAGAACUUUCUCGGAAUUUUCUUCUUUUACUUCCUUUUUACGAAAAUAUUCACAAUUAUUUUAAUUGUAUUACUCAUUUGAUCUUUUUUUUUUUUUUUUUGCCUAUUUUAUUUCCAAAGAACUUUCACGAAAUUUUCUUCUUUUAUUUCCUUUUUCUUUGUUUUAGGCUUAACAUUUAAGUCCUCAAAAAACAUUUCAAUAAGUGUAAAAAUUAAGUAUUUGAAUAUUGUUUUGCAA